rnacentral:lncRNA from 1 species
UUGUAUGCCGGAAGGGAUAAAUCUGGGGCUGAGUACAAGCAAAACAAGACCAAAGGAAGCUACCUGAGCAGGUAUUCCAGAUACUCAUGUCAUACACCAAGGUUGUACCAGUGCCCCUUUCUCUGUGACACAUCCAUCCACUGGAAACUUUCGUACAACUAGCUGAAAGAAGAGAAACAUCCUAUUUCAUGUCACUGGAGCCCUAAUGAUCGCAGCCAUUUCAGGAAAUGCCAUCAAUUACAGUGAGGAGCUCAUUCAGAAGUGAAAGAUGAGUUCCAUUCUCUGUUACUUAGAGGAACACAAUUAUUUCUGGAAAGAGUAUUACACUCAGUAUUCUGCAUUUCAUAUGGCAUUUCAAAGUCCUGAGAAUGACUCUCCGUAGUCUUCUAUGUACUAAUUAAACAUGAACAUGUGGUAAACAACAUGGACUAUUCCAGUGGACAGAAAGCGUCAAGUUAAAAUGUUUAAGUGCCCCAUAUUUUUCUAAGUAUUCUUAUCCAGUUGGUCUGACUGGUCAUUAUCUGUUUUGUAAAACUUCCCAAACAACUCAUCAAUAUUUAAAUAGCUAUCCAAAUUAUAAACUUCAAAUAGCAGAAUCCAAAUGUCAUUUAUGCAUAAUUCAAAAGAACUUUGCUGAAAACAAUCUUUGGAUUACAAUUGCUCUCUAAUCCACCUCUUGAAUUUCUACAUAAGAAUUCAAUGCCAAUGCAAUUCAAAUCAAUUCAUUCAUGGUUGAUGUUAAAACUUCCUUUAAGAGGAUAGUAUGGCAGAAACAAAACUGAAUUUGAACAAGAGGGAAACUGCAGAAGAUAAACAUUUUUUCUGUAGAAAGUUUCCAACUUUUACAUUUUUGUGGUAAUUUUUAACAUUAUAGGUAUAAUUAAAUUAUCACUAAAGUUAUAUCUAUUAAUCCUAAGUGGUUUAAAAUAAUUUCUCUGUUCAAACUGAUGCAGCUCGCUAUUACAAUUUAAUAUAAUUUUUUCAAACUAUAAUUGAUUUCUAAGACUAGUAAAAUUUUUGAGCUACCAUUAACCCCAAAAUAUCUGGAAAAAGAAAAUCAUCAUAGGUAACUCCUGAUGACUCCUACCUCUUUCAGUCACAUACUUAGCAUUAUCUGCUGUACAGGUUUAAAGAAUGUUGGUCACAGGAUUGAAGUGAAUAUUUCAUUUAUGUGUAGCCAAAAUAUUAUCAUAUGAAGCCCAAAAGAAGAGUAAAAUACAUCCUUGUGAUAUUAUUAACAUGACUUUGUGCCAGACAAAGCAUAGUUACUCUACAGAUGGAUUAUGAAUAGAGAAAAAGUGUGUAGUUGAAUUCUUUGGAAUUAUGGACUAUAUUCCAUAAAUCCCAGAUGGAGUCACUAUGAUUAAUGUUACCUCAAUGAAUACAAAAUGAAUAAAUAAUUAUCCUCCACUUACUGUAAAG